rnacentral:rRNA from 1 species
AACGAACGCUGGCGGCAUGCCUAACACAUGCAAGUCGAACGAAGUCUUCGGACUUAGUGGCGCACGGGUGCGUAACGCGUGGGAAUCUGCCCUUGGGUGCGGAAUAACUUCUCGAAAGGGAUGCUAAUACCGCAUAAUGUCGUAAGACCAAAGAUUUAUCGCCCAAGGAUGAGCCCGCGUAAGAUUAGCUAGUUGGUGGGGUAAAAAGCCUACCAAGGCGACGAUCUUUAGCUGGUCUGAGAGGAUGAUCAGCCACACUGGGACUGAGACACGGCCCAGACUCCUACGGGAGGCAGCAGUGGGGAAUAUUGGACAAUGGGCGAAAGCCUGAUCCAGCAAUGCCGCGUGAGUGAUGAAGGCCCUAGGGUUGUAAAGCUCUUUUACCCGAGAUGAUAAUGACAGUAUCGGGAGAAUAAGCUCCGGCUAACUCCGUGCCAGCA